rnacentral:tRNA from 1 species
AAAAAGUUAGUUAAAAAAUAAUAUUAGGUUGUCAGCCUAGUGUUACUAAUCAAAUUUAGUACUUUUUA